rnacentral:rRNA from 1 species
UACGAGAGGCCCAAACGUUAUUCGGAAUUACUGGGCUUAAAGAGUUCGUAGGCGGCAUUGCAAGUAGGGUGUGAAAGCCCUCGGCUCAACCGAGGAAUUGCGCUCUAAACUGCAGUGCUUGAGGAACCUAGAGGUGAGCAGAACAGAUGGUGGAGCGGUGAAAUGCGUUGAUAUCAUCUGGAAUACCGGAGGCGAAGGCGGCUCACUGGGAGUUUUCUGACGCUGAGGAACGAAAGCCAGUGUAGCGAACGGG